ACCAGAAGAUCAAUUCAGAAGUUAUUAGAAUGGGAAAAUAACAGAUUGUAUCACAAGCUUGCUUUGCACUGGAAGUUGACUAAAAGGAAAUGCGAAACUAACAAUAUGAUGGAGUAUGUAAUACUAAUAGAAUUCUUACCAAAAUAUCCCAUAUUCCGACCUGACUGAGGAGUUUUAUUCAGUCACUUCUGUGUUUCCUGUCAUUUCCUACCCUUAGUGCCUUGUAGGUGAUUUUGGAAUGAAGACGGUCUCCUUUGUUGUGUUCAACUUAUUCUUUAUAAUAGUAGAAUAUACUCCUCACCCUUUUAUUUGUGUUGAUUUAACCAGAAAAUUUGCACAUCUUUUUUUGUUAUUAAAUAAGGCUUGUGUUUUGCACUCUCAAUUUUUAAAUAAAUACAUGCGUACGUGUGGACACACAUAUACAUAUAUAUGUAGUUGCCAGUAAAGAUAAAACAUCACUGCUGGUGUUUAAAAACAAAAACUUGUUCUGAGCAUGCUGCCUUAUAAUUUUCAUACUCACUGUUUCUAAAUAUGCAUCAUUUUUCUAGGCUACUUAAUGCUCUGUAACCCCUUACUGGACACACUUAAAUAAGCUUUUGGUAGCUUUUAGAAAUGGUUUUACUCUGCUUUUAAAGGACAUGCAAUUAAUAGCACUGGUUUUGUCCUGCACUUUGCUAAAUUAUCACUUAUGUUAUUAGGUAAAAUAUUUAAACUCCUAAAGACUUGUAAAUAUUGUCUCUUUGCAUAAUGUAAAAUGUGGUAUGCCAUGGUUUACAGAAUGUAAUAUUACUAUUACUGUAUUGCCAACAAUUCUGCAUAGAUUUUAAGAUGAAUGAAGUUUGCAAGCAUCCUUUUGAAUGUAGAGACCAUUAACAUGCUAUUUUAUGGCAAAGCCAUAAUAAGUAUGUUAAAAAUUUCAGGUGUAGGGCAGGGUUGCCCUUUGUAACAAGUGGAUUAAAAUUGAAAUCAUUAUCUCAGAUAGUCUGCAUUGCACCUGAAACCAAGAACAUAAUGUUUUCCAUUUAAUUCAAUAAUUUCUGUUUUGUCCUUCACCCCAACCCUCCAAAAGAAUUUGACAUCUGACACGUUUCACAGCCUUACUAACCUUCAUUUAUUUCCUUGUAUGUAUCCUUUCCUUCCUUUGAAAAUACAGUUAUGACCUUUGGCAUAUUUUGAGAUUUCAGAUGUCUUGGUAGGUAUCUGGAGACCCUCAUGAAAGCCACUGCUAACCCCUUUCUGGAGUUCAGUAUUCUGCUUUGUGAAAGAGAGAGAACUAAUUGAUAAGCUGUAUUUAAAGAAUAUAUAGUGGCCAAUUCAUAAUUGAUAAGAUAUUCUCAAUCCUCUUUUUGAGGAUCUUUUUUAAACAUUUGGAUAUUAUUAAUGAGAAAAGACGAGUAUUUAGACAAAAGUAUUUGAGCUUAUAAAUUUACUACACGGUUAGCCAUUUUAUUGGUAUGAGCAUAUUUCUCUUCACAGUUAAGAUGAGUGAGAGUACCACACUCUAAUCGUACUAGAAUUUGAAAUUUUAGCAUAAUGAAAGCUUUAUAUUAAGUUAAUUCAACUGCAAGUGUAUGCCUGUGUGUAGGCAUUAUUUGUAAUUCAUAGUGCUGAAAAUAAAAGUUACUGGGACUGAAUAAUAUUUUAUUUGUCAUCUUACUCUUACUCUUUUAGCAAACGUUUUUAGGCAAUCAUUCAUCCCAGUGAAGAGAGCAAUCAUUUCUUUCAUACAAGGUCAAGACUUUUGAAGCCACUUUUAAAAUUUAUGCCCAACUUGAAAUCCUCAGUCCUUAACCAGUAAAAAAAAAAAAAAAAAGGCACUAUUUGAUAUGUGAUUAUAAUUGUCUGCAUAAACACUUUUCCACUUCCUUCUGUAGAGCCCCAUGACCCCCGUGCCCAUCAGCCACCCAAAAUCUCUAACGCUUAAUAUAUUUUGUAUGCCUGCAAAUAUCAUGUGUCUGCCUGCUGCAAAAUUGAAGGUGUAUUUUUAUAGACAAGAUGGAAACCUCUGAAAAUGCAUACGAAAUGUCUUGUUUUAUAACCAUGGCCAGGGAAAAACUGUAUCUGUGGUUUAUGUUGUAGCUAAUAUCAUCAAAUUUAUGCUUCAUGCUGUGACAUUUUAAUAACAAAAUUGAUUUCCAGCACUAUCACUGAUAGAAUAAUUGCUUUUAAGUGUUAACCCUUAAAAAUCUUAUUUUUUUCUGUAACCUUAGAAUUUGACCAUAUGGUGCUUAUAUGGUUAUAGUAACUUUUUCUGCCAUGUAUAAAUCACGCUUGGUUUUGCUCAAAGAACUGCAGGAAGUGGUAAAUUGUUUCCAUGAAACAAAUAUUGAAACAGGAAUAGAGUGUAUCAUCAGUAGUGGGGACUGAGUACAAUUCAAGUUACAAUAGGAUGUCAUAAAAAUCAUUUGCCAGCUUGUGUAAACUUAAUUUUAAAACCUACUGUAAUCAUUCUUAAAUUUAUUAUUUUAUUGUUCAUUAUGCAAGUUGACUCAUCUUAGUUUCUUGAACAACCCAGAAAACAUCCAGUCUUCUUUUUGUUCUCUCUUAUGUGACUGCUUUUUCAAACUAUUUUCCCUUGCAGGGAGCUGAUUAACAAAUGGAUAUUUUGGAGUGUUGGGGGGGGUUCUUUUCAGUGAAAUUGGCAACAGUGAAUGCUGAAAUGACAGAAUACACUGUGGUAAUUAAUUCCUCCCCCAUCGAGAUUUUUUUCUUUUAUCCUCAGGGUAAAACAUACUUGUAUUUUUCCACUGGGUUAGUAAAGUGUUUUUGUGAAAGUUCGUUUUUUAUUGAAGAAAGUAAUUUUUAAUUUCUUUGUUGUAUAAUAUUCCUUUGUGAAACCUGCUUUGGUAAUUCCAGAGAAAAAUAACAUGUAUUUGCCAAAGUACGAGUAUGUAAACCUCACAAGGCUUUGAGGUUACAAGGUAAAACUGUUCUUUAAAA